rnacentral:rRNA from 1 species
GACGAACGCUGGCGGCGUGCUUAACACAUGCAAGUCGAACGGAAAGGCCCUGCUUUUGUGGGGUUCUCGAUUGGCGAACGGGUGAGUAACACGUGAGUAACCUGCCCUUGACUUUGGGAUAACUUCAGGAAACUGGGUAGAAUACCGGAUAGGAGCUCCUGAUGCAUGGGGGGGGUUGGAAAGUGUCGGCGGUUGUGGAUAGACUCGCUGCUUAUCAGCUUGUUGGUGUGGUAGGUAUUGACCAAGGUUUUGAAGGGUAGCCUGCCUGGGAGCGUUACCGGGCACAUGGGGACUGAGAGACGGCGCAGACUCCUACGGGAGGCAGCAGUGGGGAAUAUUGCACAGUGGGCGGAAGCGAGAUGCAGAAACGCUGCGUGCGGAAUGACGGCUUUCGGGUUGUAAACAGAUUUCGAAUGUGCCGAAGCGUGCGUGACGGUAAUGAGUAAAGAAGCCCCGGCUAACUACGUG